GAAGAAUAAACCUUCCUGUAUGAAGCUAACGCCAGCUCAACGUGUGUCUUGACACACUGAGACGACAAAACCUUCGUUGUCUUCUGACUGUAAUGCCGGGGGGCGACCCGACACCCUCCCCAGUCAGCGCUGUUUUAUCUGCAUGAGAGGAAACCUACACAGUGUUGAGAGAUUUUCAUGUUAUGGCUGAUCAGCACGGACUGCCGGUUGCAGGCUUGUAGAGGGAGCAGGGUAAACUCUGGAAGACUGAACGAGUGAAUGGGCUCAAAGAUUGCGGGAGCAGAAACAUCCGUACAGCGGAUUUCCGACCGUCUGACAUGUGACGAGCAGUUUUCAGAGGUUUCCCUCCCUCCGUCCUACCUUUGUCUCUCCUCUCAGCUCGUAGCGUCUGUCUGCUGAGGCUGCAGGCUGUAAUUACCCCGUCAGCCCUCUCGCAUGCAGCUCCAACCUUCAGCAUCACCCUCCUUCCCUCCGGCUCUCAUUAGCUAAGUGAAACGACUCUCUGGACGGCAGCAAUAUGGCGUCUUAAGGCCGGAGCUGUUUAGAAGUGAUUUGGGAGGCAGCAGAUGCAGCUGAUGACAUCCACACUCUUCAUAAAGAGAUCAAGCUCAACUCUAAUCCUGUCCUUCUC